UCCCUGAUGAUCCAGUGGCUAAGACUUGCACUCCCAAUGCAAGGUGCCAGGUUCAAUUCCUGGUCAGGAAG
rnacentral:tRNA from 1 species